UGACAGCGAUAAUAUGAGCGGGCAUGAGCCAGAGCAGAAGCUACAAGGUAAUCGGGGUGCAGGGGUCUUCGGCGAAAGAGAAAGUCGUUCCUGGCUUUCCAGAUGUGCCACAGGACAUAUGUAAUUUGCGCAUAAAACUGAUCUGAAGUUGAUGCUGCAGUGCUUUGAGUUGGCGGGAGCUGUUCUGAAAUUUGGACCUACUCCAACUGUUUGCCAUGCAGUUGAUAUUACGGAACGACACUCCGGCUCUUGUAGCCAAUAAGACUCAAAGAUAAAGCCUCGUUGUUGCCUUGGUGGAGUGGCAGUUGUUGUUAACAGCAGUGGACUAUGGUCGGAUCAAUGGUCGGAGC